UACGUAGGGGCGAGCGUUGUCCGGAAUUAUUGGGUUUAAAGGGUGCGUAGGCGGCCAUUUAAGUCAGCGGUGAAAUUUUGCAGCUUAACUGUAACAGUGCCGUUGAUACUGGGGAGCUAGGAUUUGGUUGAUGUGGGUGGAAUGUGUGGUGUAGCGGUGAAAUGCUUAGAGAUCACACAGAAUAUCGAUUGCGAAGGCAGCUCACAAAGCCAAGAUUGACGCUGAGGCACGAAAGUGUGGGGAUCAAACAGGAUUAGA
rnacentral:rRNA from 1 species